rnacentral:rRNA from 1 species
CGCCUCUUGCUUACUAAAAAUAAGAGGUCCCGCCUGCCCUGUGACCAUGAGUUUAACGGCCGCGGUAUUUUGACCGUGCAAAGGUAGCGCAAUCACUUGUCUUUUAAAUGAAGACCCGUAUGAAUGGCAUAACGAGGGCUUAACUGUCUCCCUUUUCCAGUCAAUGAAAUUGAUCUCCCCGUGCAGAAGCGGGGAUCCCCACAUAAGACGAGAAGACCCUAUGGAGCUUUAGACAAAAGACAGCCCAUGUCAAACACCCCUAAACAAAGGACAAAACCAAUUGGCCCCUGUCCUAAUGUCUUUGGUUGGGGCGACCGCGGGGAAACAAAAAACCCCCAUGUGGACUGAAGGCACCCUUCUUCACAACCAAGAGCCACAGCUCUAAGUAACAGAACAUCUGACCAACAAGAUCCGGAAUAAUAACCGAUCAACGGACCGAGUUACCCUAGGGAUAACAGCGCAAUCUCCUUCUAGAGCCCAUAUCGACAAGGAGGUUUACGACCUCGAUGUUGGAUCAGGACAUCCUAAUGGUGCAGCCGCUAUUAAGGGUUCGUUUGUUCAACGAUUAAAGUCCU